rnacentral:rRNA from 1 species
AACGAACGCUGGCGGCAUGCCUAACACAUGCAAGUCGAACGAGACCUUCGGGUCUAGUGGCGCACGGGUGCGUAACGCGUGGGAACCUGCCCUUAGGUUCGGAAUAACUCCCCGAAAGGGGUGCUAAUACCGGAUAAUGUCUUCGGACCAAAGAUUUAUCGCCUUUGGAUGGGCCCGCGUUGGAUUAGCUAGUUGGUAGGGUAAAAGCCUACCAAGGCGACGAUCCAUAGCUGGUCUGAGAGGAUGAUCAGCCACACUGGGACUGAGACACGGCCCAGACUCCUACGGGAGGCAGCAGUGGGGAAUAUUGGACAAUGGGCGAAAGCCUGAUCCAGCAAUGCCGCGUGAGUUAUGAAGGCCUUAGGGUUGUAAAGCUCUUUUACCCGGGAUGAUAAUGACAGUACCGGGAGAAUAAGCGCCGGCUAACUCCGUG